rnacentral:rRNA from 1 species
UACAGAGGGGGCAAGCGUUGUUCGGAAUUACUGGGCGUAAAGGGCGCGUAGGCGGCCUUCUAAGUCAGACGUGAAAUCCCCGGGCUCAACCCGGGAACUGCGUCUGAUACUGGAUGGCUUGAAUCCGGGAGAGGGAUGUGGAAUUCCAGGUGUAGCGGUGAAAUGCGUAGAUAUCAGGAGGAACACCAAUGGCGAAGGCAGAUCUCUGGGCCGUAACUGACGCUGAGGAGCGAAAGCAUGGGGAGCGAACAGG